rnacentral:tRNA from 2 species
GGGGAUAUGGUGAAAUUGGUAAACACGCUGGAUUCAAAAUCCAGUGCCGCAAGGCUUCUCGGUUCAAGUCCGAGUAUCCCCACCA